rnacentral:rRNA from 1 species
GGUGAACGCUGGCGGCGUGCUUGACACAUGCAAGUCGAACGGUAUGUGGCAACACAUAGAGUGGCGAACGGGUGAGUAACACGUGGGAACGUACCCUCUGCAGGGGGAUAACUGACCGAAAGGACAGCUAAUACCGCAUAAGACCGAGAGGAGAAAGGUGCAACAGCAUCGGCAGAGGAGCGGCCCGCGGACCAUCAGCUAGUUGGUGGGGUAAGAGCCUACCAAGGCAACGACGGAUAGCCGGCGUGAGAGCGUGGCCGGCCACAAGGACACUGAGAUACGGGUCCUACUCCUACGGGAGGCAGCAGUGCGGAAUUUUAGAUAAUGGAGGCAACUCUGAUCUAGCGACGCCGCGUGCAGGAAGAAGGUCUUCGGAUUGUAAACUGCUGUGGUAAGGGAAAAAUGCCAUGUAGAGUGGAAAGCUACAUGGAGGGAUGGUACUUUACUAGAAAGCCCCGGCUAACUACGUGCCAGCAGCCGCGGUAAUACGUAGGGGGCGAGCGUUACCCGGAAUCACUGGGCGUAAAGGGAGCGUAGGUGGCCUGACAUGUCGACUGUGAAAACCCGGAGCUCAACUCCGGACUUGCAGUUGAAACUGCCAGGCUUGAGGACGGUAGAGGAAGACGGAACUGCCAGUGUAGGGGUAAAAUCCUUAGAUAUUGGCAGGAACGCCGGUGACGAAGGUGGUUUUCUGGGCCGGUUCUGACACUGAUGCUCGAAAGCCAGGGGAGCGAACGGGAUUAGAUACCCCGGUAGUCCUGGCCCUAAACGAUGUUCACUAGGUGUGGGGAGCGGAAAGCUUUCCGUGCUAAAGCUAACGCGAUAAGUGAACCGCCUGGGGAGUACGCCC